ACCUACGGGGCGCAGCAGUGGGGAAUAUUGCACAAUGGGGGAAACCCUGAUGCAGCAACGCCGCGUGAAGGAAGACGGUUUUCGGAUUGUAAACUUCUGUUCUUAGUGAAGAAGAAUGACGGUAGCUAAGGAGCAAGCCACGGCUAACUACGUGCCAGCAGCCGCGGUAAUACGUAGGGGGCAAGCGUUAUCCGGAUUCACUGGGUGUAAGGGGAGCGUAGACGGCGAGACAAGUCUGGAGUGAAAGGCCGGGGCCCAACCCCGGGACUGCUCUGGAAACUGCCUGGCUGGAGUACAGGAGAGGG
rnacentral:rRNA from 1 species